UGGGCGUUAAGUUGCAGGGUAUAGACCCGAAACCCGGUGAUCUAGCCAUGGGCAGGUUGAAGGUUGGGUAACACUAACUGGAGGACCGAACCGACUAAUGUUGAAAAAUUAGCGGAUGACCUGUGGCUGGGGGUGAAAGGCCAAUCAAACCGGGAGAUAGCUGGUUCUCCCCGAAAGCUAUUUAGGUAGCGCCUCGUGAAUUCAUCUCCGGGGGUAGAGCACUGUUUCGGCUAGGGGGCCAUCCCGGCUUACCAACCCGAUGCAAACUGCGAAUACCGGAGAAUGUUAUCACGGGAGACACACGGCGGGUGCUAACGUCCGUCGUGAAGAGGGAAACAACCCAGACCGCCAGCUAAGGUCCCAAAGUCAUGGUUAAGUGGGAAACGAUGUGGGAAGGCCCAGACAGCCAGGAUGUUGGCUUAGAAGCAGCCAUCAUUUAAAGAAAGCGUAAUAGCUCACUGGUCGAGUCGGCCUGCGCGGAAGAUGUAACGGGGCUAAACCAUGCACCGAAGCUGCGGCAGCGACGCUUAUGCGUUGUUGGGUAGGGGAGCGUUCUGUAAGCCUGCGAAGGUGGCCUGUGAGGGUUGCUGGAGGUAUCAGAAGUGCGAAUGCUGACAUAAGUAACGAUAAAGCGGGUGAAAAGCCCGCUCGCCGGAAGACCAAGGGUUCCUGUCCAACGUUAAUCGGGGCAGGGUGAGUCGACCCCUAAGGCGAGGCCGAAAGGCGUAGUCGAUGGGAAACGGGUUAAUAUUCCCGUACUUGGUGUUACUGCGAAGGGGGGACGGAGAAGGCUAUGUUGGCCGGGCGACGGUUGUCCCGGUUUAAGCGUGUAGGUGUGUGUUCCAGGUAAAUCCGGUUCACUUUAACACUGAGGCGUGACGACGAGGCACUACGGUGCUGAAGCAACAAAUGCCCUGCUUCCAGGAAAAGCCUCUAAGCAUCAGGUAACAUCAAAUCGUACCCCAAACCGACACAGGUGGUCAGGUAGAGAAUACCAAGGCGCUUGAGAGAACUCGGGUGAAGGAACUAGGCAAAAUGGUGCCGUAACUUCGGGAGAAGGCACGCUGACAC
rnacentral:rRNA from 2 species